UACGUAGGGGGCAAGCGUUGUCCGGAAUCAUUGGGCGUAAAGCGCGUGUAGGCGGCCCGAUAAGUCCGCUGUGAAAGUCCAGGGCUCAACCCCGGGAUGCCGGUGGAUACUGUCGGGCUCGAGUCCGGAAGAGGCGAGUGGAAUUCCUGGUGUAGCGGUGAAAUGCGUAGAUAUCUGGAGGAACACCGGUGGCGAAGGCGGCAUCCUGGACCGGCAUUGACGCUGAGGCGCGAAAGCUAGGGGAGCAAACGGG
rnacentral:rRNA from 1 species